CUUUAUUCUCACUCUUUCUCUCUCUAUAUUUACUCUCUAGAAAAGAAGAGAAAAGAGAAAGAAAAAGUUGAUCGAGAAUAUAGCAAACAGCAUCACCACAAGAAACCUCUUCGUUCGAUAGAUCUGUGGAGAAGAAGAUGGGACAGAACCAAAAAUCUCUGAUCUACGCUUUCGUUUCUCGCGGAAGCGUGAUUCUCUCUGAAUACACUGAAUUCAGCGGAAACUUCAACUCCAUCGCUUUUCAAUGCCUUCAGAAGCUUCCAGCUUCUAACAACAAAUUCACUUACAAUUGUGAUGGCCACACCUUCAACUACCUCGUCGAUAAUGGCUACACGUAUUGUGUUGUUGCGGAUGAAACUGUUGGAAGACAAGUGCCGGUGGCUUUUCUGGAGCGUGUGAAGGAUGAUUUUGUUGCGAAAUAUGGUGGUGGGAAGGCGUCUACAGCUGCACCUAACAGCUUGAAUAAGGAAUUUGGGCCAAAAUUGAAGGAACAUAUGCAGUAUUGUGUUGAUCACCCGGAGGAGGUGAGUAAGCUUGCUAAGGUGAAAGCUCAGGUGUCUGAAGUGAAAGGUGUCAUGAUGGAGAACAUUGAAAAGGUCCUGGACAGGGGGGAAAAGAUAGAGCUUUUGGUUGACAAGACUGAGAACCUUCAUCACCAGGCACAAGACUUCAGGAACUCAGGGACCAAAAUCCGCAGAAAAAUGUGGCUGCAAAAUAUGAAGAUAAAGCUGAUUGUAUUGGCAAUUUUGAUAGCUCUGAUCCUCAUAAUUGUCCUCCCAAUUGUCCUUAAGAAUAAAUAAACGCCACUCUCGGAGACAUUUAUCUGGUUAUUUUGACUUUCUUGUGAUUAUUAUAUGAUGAUGAUGAUGAGGAAAGCUAUCAGGUGUAUGACAUGAUUUUGUAUUUAGUCAAGAUAUCAGAACCUGUAUACCGUUCACUUUUAAGCUUUUACAGUAUGAUGGUGAUGAUGAUAUACUAAUGCUUCUAUAUGUUUUUUUUGCCUGUCUAUUGUAGUUUGAUUUCAAUUUCAA